CCGCUGAGUAAGAAAGGUCGGCUCGUAAAGCUCGUGUUAAAGAAGAACCGUUAUUGGAGGUACCUGGUCAUACGUGACGUAUUUAACAGAAAAGUCACGCUACUACGUGCCAGCAGCGCGUAAUACGUAGGUGCAAGCGUAUUCCCGAUUUAUUGGCGUAAAGAGAGUGCAGCGGUUUUUCUAAGUCUGAUGUGAAAGCCUUCGCUUAACCCGAAGAAGUGCAUCGAAACUGGAUAACUUGAGUGCAGAAGAGGGUAGUGGAACUCCAUGUGUAGCGGUGGAAUGCGUAGAUAUAUGGAAGAACACCAGUGCGAAGGGCGGCUAUCUGGUCUGCAACUGACGCUGAGACUCGAAAGCAUGGGUAGCGAACAGGAUUAGAUACCCUGGUAGUCCAUGCCGUAAACGAUGAGUGCUAGGUGUUGGAGGGUUUCCGCCCUUCAGUGCCGGAGCUAACGCAUUAAGCACUCCGCCUGGGGAGUACGACCGCAAGGUUGAAACUCAAAGGAAUUGACGGGGGCCCGCACAAGCGGUGGAGCAUGUGGUUUAAUUCGAAGCUACGCGAAGAACCUUACCAGGUCUUGACAUCUUGCGCCAACCCUAGAGAUAGGGCGUUUCCUUCGGGAACGCAAUGACAGGUGGUGCAUGGUCGUCGUCAGCUCGUGUCGUGAGAUGUUGGGUUAAGUCCCGCAACGAGCGCAACCCUUGUUACUAGUUGCCAGCAUUAAGUUGUUCACUCUAGUGAGACUGCCGGUGACAAACCGGAGGAAGGUGGGGACGACGUCAGAUCAUCAUGCCCCUUAUGACCUGGGCUACACACGUGCUACAAUGGACGGUACAACGAGUCGCGAACUCGCGAGGGCAAGCAAAUCUCUUAAACCGUUCUCAGUUCGGACUGCAGGCUGCAACUCGCCUGCACGAAGUCGGAAUCGCUAGUAAUCGCGGAUCAGCAUGCCGCGGUGAAUACGUUCCCGGGCCUGGUAC
rnacentral:rRNA from 1 species